ensembl:lncRNA
GCCCCGAGGGCGUGGGUGAUGGAGCCGCAGCACCGGAGGCCUGGCCCGCCCUGGGGGUGGGGGGACAGAGGCGCCCGCAGCUCUGCUGCCGGGGCUCAGCCUGGCUGGUGCGCGCGGCGGCCGGCAGGGAGCGCCCCCGGGCCGGGAUGCGCGCUCGGGCGGCGGCAGAGGUCUCCCCGAGGUAGCGCGGGCGCCGGGCGACCGGAGCACGCCAGGCACCCCUGCCCACCACCGCUGACCGCGCAGGGCGCCGGGGCCCCCCUGCGCACCCCGCGCACCCGGAGGCACGCUGGAGCAUCCCGGCGCCGGGCGUCGCCUGCGCUCCCCGUCGCCGGUCUCUCCCGGGCCCUGGGGCGUCAGCAAGAGGAGGGGUGCGCUGCUGCGAGUCGGGUGCAGCCGCACCAGGAGCCCAGGCUUUUUUUUGAGGGGGCAGUGAACAGAGCGCUGAUCCCAGGAGGAACUCGUAUCCCCCUGUACAUGGGAACCCCGGGACCAGGGCAAAAGAGACAGACAGACAGACACGCACACGCAGAGAAGGGACGGGGGAAGAAGCCUGACUGCACAGGUCCAGGACGGUCUCUCUAGGGAGUCUGGCCAGGCCAGGUCCAGGAUUCGCACACUUGGAUGACGAGACGUGGCUUCGGGAAUGAAGGAACGCGUGCCCUCAGGACAGGCCAGCCAGGCAGAGACUGACCACUGACCUCGGCACGCAGGUCCCGGAGGCAGCACCAGCCUCCACGCAGAGGACCCACUCCCGGGAAGCAAGGCUUAGCCACGUCCUUCGGUUGGCCAGCCGGGCAGCACAGUGGCCCCUCCAUGGGGCUGAAUCGUGGCCCUCCUGAGCUGUUUGGUUGUAAAUAGCCAAAUGGAAGAACCAGGACAGGGAGAACUGUAGGCCACUGGGAGGCAAGGUGCCCGGCUGGUUCCCGGUCAAGGUGGGAGAGCCUACAGCAGGGGUCACGAAGUGCCGAGCGGCUGCUCCGAGGGGGGCAGUCCGCUUGUGUGUCCAGUGGCGCCCCCUGGCGCGCCUGCCUGGCUGGCCUCGCUUGCUGCUGUGCCCGCUUUCUUUUGCCGAGCGCAUGAAUGAUUCCAUGGAUGAACAAAUGCUUCCUCCCGUGCGUCGACUGCUGCCCUGGGGGCAGGACCGGAGGCCGCACCAGCUGGCUGUCAGAACCAUGGGGAGACAGCGUGGCUCACCUGUGCCCCCCGCCCCGCCCCAGGGCCACUUAUCUGCAGACAGGGUCCCCGAGGGAGCCAGAGCUCCACAAAGGCCCUCCUACAUUUGACCAGCCACGGAAUCCUCAGCCCCUCCUGCCAGCUCAUGGUAACAGCUGGGGAACCAUCCCCCCGGGGUGGGGGCGUGCUGCCCAGCCCUGGCUGGACGCGGGCACAGGGGUGAGGCACUCCAUUAACAUUGCCGCAGGGUCCCGCGA